GGUUAAGCGACUAAGCGUACACGGUGGAUGCCCUGGCAGUCAGAGGCGAUGAAGGACGUGCUAAUCUGCGAUAAGCGUCGGUAAGGUGAUAUGAACCGUUAUAACCGGCGAUUUCCGAAUGGGGAAACCCAGUGUGAUUCGUCACACUAUCAUUAACUGAAUCCAUAGGUUAAUGAGGCGAACCGGGGGAACUGAAACAUCUAAGUACCCCGAGGAAAAGAAAUCAACCGAGAUUCCCCCAGUAGCGGCGAGCGAACGGGGAGCAGCCCAGAGCCUGAAUCAGUGUGUGUGUUAGUGGAAGCGUCUGGAAAGGCGCGCGAUACAGGGUGACAGCCCCGUACACAAAAAUGCACAUAUUGUGAGCUCGAUGAGUAGGGCGGGACACGUGGUAUCCUGUCUGAAUAUGGGGGGACCAUCCUCCAAGGCUAAAUACUCCUGACUGACCGAUAGUGAACCAGUACCGUGAGGGAAAGGCGAAAAGAACCCCGGCGAGGGGAGUGAAAAAGAACCUGAAACCGUGUACGUACAAGCAGUGGGAGCACGCUUAGGCGUGUGACUGCGUACCUUUUGUAUAAUGGGUCAGCGACUUAUAUUCUGUAGCAAGGUUAACCGAAUAGGGGAGCCGAAGGGAAACCGAGUCUUAACUGGGCGUUAAGUUGCAGGGUAUAGACCCGAAACCCGGUGAUCUAGCCAUGGGCAGGUUGAAGGUUGGGUAACACUAACUGGAGGACCGAACCGACUAAUGUUGAAAAAUUAGCGGAUGACUUGUGGCUGGGGGUGAAAGGCCAAUCAAACCGGGAGAUAGCUGGUUCUCCCCGAAAGCUAUUUAGGUAGCGCCUCGUGAAUUCAUCUCCGGGGGUAGAGCACUGUUUCGGCAAGGGGGUCAUCCCGACUUACCAACCCGAUGCAAACUGCGAAUACCGGAGAAUGUUAUCACGGGAGACACACGGCGGGUGCUAACGUCCGUCGUGAAGAGGGAAACAACCCAGACCGCCAGCUAAGGUCCCAAAGUCAUGGUUAAGUGGGAAACGAUGUGGGAAGGCCCAGACAGCCAGGAUGUUGGCUUAGAAGCAGCCAUCAUUUAAAGAAAGCGUAAUAGCUCACUGGUCGAGUCGGCCUGCGCGGAAGAUGUAACGGGGCUAAACCAUGCACCGAAGCUGCGGCAGCGACGCUUAUGCGUUGUUGGGUAGGGGAGCGUUCUGUAAGCCUGCGAAGGUGUGCUGUGAGGCAUGCUGGAGGUAUCAGAAGUGCGAAUGCUGACAUAAGUAACGAUAAAGCGGGUGAAAAGCCCGCUCGCCGGAAGACCAAGGGUUCCUGUCCAACGUUAAUCGGGGCAGGGUGAGUCGACCCCUAAGGCGAGGCCGAAAGGCGUAGUCGAUGGGAAACAGGUUAAUAUUCCUGUACUUGGUGUUACUGCGAAGGGGGGACGGAGAAGGCUAUGUUGGCCGGGCGACGGUUGUCCCGGUUUAAGCGUGUAGGCUGGUUUUCCAGGCAAAUCCGGAAAAUCAAGGCUGAGGCGUGAUGACGAGGCACUACGGUGCUGAAGCAACAAAUGCCCUGCUUCCAGGAAAAGCCUCUAAGCAUCAGGUAACAUCAAAUCGUACCCCAAACCGACACAGGUGGUCAGGUAGAGAAUACCAAGGCGCUUGAGAGAACUCGGGUGAAGGAACUAGGCAAAAUGGUGCCGUAACUUCGGGAGAAGGCACGCUGAUAUGUAGGUGAAGUCCCUCGCGGAUGGAGCUGAAAUCAGUCGAAGAUACCAGCUGGCUGCAACUGUUUAUUAAAAACACAGCACUGUGCAAACACGAAAGUGGACGUAUACGGUGUGACGCCUGCCCGGUGCCGGAAGGUUAAUUGAUGGGGUUAGCCGCAAGGCGAAGCUCUUGAUCGAAGCCCCGGUAAACGGCGGCCGUAACUAUAACGGUCCUAAGGUAGCGAAAUUCCUUGUCGGGUAAGUUCCGACCUGCACGAAUGGCGUAAUGAUGGCCAGGCUGUCUCCACCCGAGACUCAGUGAAAUUGAACUCGCUGUGAAGAUGCAGUGUACCCGCGGCAAGACGGAAAGACCCCGUGAACCUUUACUAUAGCUUGACACUGAACAUUGAGCCUUGAUGUGUAGGAUAGGUGGGAGGCUUUGAAGUGUGGACGCCAGUCUGCAUGGAGCCGACCUUGAAAUACCACCCUUUAAUGUUUGAUGUUCUAACGUUGACCCGUGAUCCGGGUUGCGGACAGUGUCUGGUGGGUAGUUUGACUGGGGCGGUCUCCUCCUAAAGAGUAACGGAGGAGCACGAAGGUUGGCUAAUCCUGGUCGGACAUCAGGAGGUUAGUGCAAUGGCAUAAGCCAGCUUGACUGCGAGCGUGACGGCGCGAGCAGGUGCGAAAGCAGGUCAUAGUGAUCCGGUGGUUCUGAAUGGAAGGGCCAUCGCUCAACGGAUAAAAGGUACUCCGGGGAUAACAGGCUGAUACCGCCCAAGAGUUCAUAUCGACGGCGGUGUUUGGCACCUCGAUGUCGGCUCAUCACAUCCUGGGGCUGAAGUAGGUCCCAAGGGUAUGGCUGUUCGCCAUUUAAAGUGGUACGCGAGCUGGGUUUAGAACGUCGUGAGACAGUUCGGUCCCUAUCUGCCGUGGGCGCUGGAGAACUGAGGGGGGCUGCUCCUAGUACGAGAGGACCGGAGUGGACGCAUCACUGGUGUUCGGGUUGUCAUGCCAAUGGCACUGCCCGGUAGCUAAAUGCGGAAGAGAUAAGUGCUGAAAGCAUCUAAGCACGAAACUUGCCCCGAGAUGAGUUCUCCCUGACCCUUUAAGGGUCCUGAAGGAACGUUGAAGACGACGACGUUGAUAGGCCGGGUGUGUAAGCGCAGCGAUGCGUUGAGCUAACCGGUACUAAUGAACCGUGAGGCUUAACCUU
rnacentral:rRNA from 1 species